CUAAGAUUAAGCUAUGCAUGUGAUUUGAAGAACUGAUUAAU
rnacentral:misc_RNA from 1 species